rnacentral:tRNA from 1 species
GGUCCUGUGGUGCAGUGGUUAUCACGUCUGCUUUACACGCAGAAUGUCUCCGGUUCGAUCCCGGCCAGGUCCU